AUUCAACGUAGAUGUUUAUGACGUUGAUAUUCAACGUCAUAAACAUUCAACUUAGAUGUUUAUGACGUUGAAUAUCAACGUCAUAAACAUUCAAC
rnacentral:miRNA from 1 species